AUCUAGCUGAUAAGUUUCAAAUAGGACGAAACAAAUGUUCUGGAU
rnacentral:hammerhead_ribozyme from 1 species